ACAAAAAACUUUUCUCAAAUAACAUUUAAAGUCAAAAAUAUUGCAAAAAAAAAUUUUGCGAUUUAAUUAAAUUACAAAUUAAUAUUAGGCUCACCCUAAUACAAACACUUGUACUCACCUAGAUACAUUCAACUGUUUAUUAACCCUUAUCAACAUGCCUAUACAUACCAUAUAAAAACUAAAACUUUUACAUUUUCCUGCUAACAACUGUUAAUUAACAGCGUCUAUGUGUUAACUUUACAGGCACACGACAAACACGUGCCACCCGUGGCUGUGGGAGUUCAGCGCAAGUGAACACUCACGGCUCGCAGCGCCACUUGCCAAUGUUGUUGUAAUCACUGGUGUACAUAAAGGAUUACUGUUAACUUAACAGCUCUGCUAUACACACACUUAACAGUGCCUGACAGCAGCUGAGCGCCAACAAAAGCAAACAUGCAGACUUCAUCGUGCAAAUCGCCGCCUUGCUGCUUUCGCCGGCCCACACAAAUACAAAACCAUGCGAAACGAGCGUUUUGGCAUCAGUUUUCCAUGGCAUUUAAAGCGGCGCGGACGUGUUCGACGCAGCUACAACGUAGCGCUAGAAACGUGUAACAACAACAUAUGUACAUAUGUAAACGGUAUAUUCAUAUAUUGUACAUACAGUUGUGUUGUAGGUGUGUACGUGUGCUUUUGAAUAACGGUGCAAUCGCGUGUUUGAAAGUGUCGCCGCGGACGCGGAAAUUGUUGAUAAAUAUUAUUAGAAAUUGUAAAUAAAAGUGAAUUUUGUUUGUGUUUUUUUGUUGUUAUCGUUGUUGUUGUGCAAUCGGCGGCGUGUUUACAAAGUGUCAGUGUCAUUUAUGCAGUGCAGUUGUUGCGGUUUUAUCUGACAUUUCAUUAAAUAUAAAUAAAUAAAUAAUUUGUUGCUUGUCUGUGUGCCGGGGAGAGUGCUUAAGCGCUUUAAAAGUUGCAUAAAUUAUAUUUAUUGCUUCAUUUCUACAUAAAAUAAUUAGCGUAAAAAAUAUGAAUAAAAAUAUGCUGGAAAUCUCACACGCUACAUCCCACUUGUCAACGGCAAGGCCGAACAGACACACACAAACGACAUUUUCAUUUUGCCCACCGUCAUCAACGCCUUAAAACCAACGCACGACAACAAUUAAAUGUAUAAAUAUACUUAAAUAGAAGAGCAAAAAAACAACAACAAAAAGAAAAAAACAGCAACAAGAAAAAAGAAAGAAACACAAGCACAGCUAUGACAAAUGACAAAAACAACAACAACAGGUAAAAAAAAAAUAAAAAAGGUAAACCAAACAACAAUAAUGCGAAUGUUUAGCAAUUUUUGAGUGGAAAUUGUGUAAAAAUAGCUGCAGCAAGCAACAGCAUUAAACAGCCGCAUUGGAAACGGAAAAAAUGUGAAGCUGCUGAGAAUUAUGAAAAAUCUGCUUUUGCAAGCAAUGCCGCGGUGCGUGUGUGUGUGUGUUUUCGCCUGCUGUUCUGCUGCAUAGUUUAUAGCCGCACCAUAUGUGUUGUGUAAAUUGUUGUUUUGUUGUUGUUGUAAGAAAAGUAAAAAAUAGAAAAAGUGGCAAGAAUUGCACGCCAAAUGUUGGAGAAAUACAAGCACACAUUGCGACGCGUGUGUUUUUUGUAUUUAUUUUGAUUAAAUGCAAAGCGUUCAAUGUAGCGAUGUAGCGCGAACAUUCAUAAAUAUUUCGUCGUCGUCAACUUUGUGUGUGCGUGGGAAUUUCGUUGAAGUACCCAAUUCAUAGGCUAAGAAAGCAAAAAAAAAAAAAUUCACUCAAGCAUUUUUGUGUUGAAAAUUGUCUGCGGCGCGACUACAUACAUACAUUCAUGUACAUAUGUAUAUACAGGCAGACAGCCAGCCGUUGGACAACAGUUGGAAAGCCGACAAUAAAUACUUCCAACGCAACACUGAAUAAUUAAUGAGUUAAAUACCGCAAAGUGAGUGAUUGACACAAAUAUGGCAAAGUGAUUAUCUACCGGAAUGACAAGAGUUAAAUUGCCGCGUCAAUGCGUUAAAUAAAAAAUUAAUUUUAAAUUUACUUUGUGUAUGGGUAUAUAUAGUAUAUAUAAUUCAGCUUAUAUAUUAAUAGUUAAUGACAUAUGGAUUGGACGACAUGAGUGGCUAAAGCUGUGUAUAUAUGUAUGAUUUUCAUAUACAUAUGUAUAUGUUUGUUUCGACAUAAUUGUAUACAAAAUAUCCAUCGUGUUGUGGGUUGCUGGCUUCAAACACUUUAAUCCACUUGUAUUAUUUAAAUACAUAUAAAAACAACAACAAAAUAAUAAAACAUAAAAAAAUCACAUUUUUUUCUAUCAAAAAUGUCAAUUAAAUAUAUAGUAGUGUUGGCUUUUUCGCGUCCAAAGUGUCAGAGUCCUCUGACAUGUGGCGGAAUGCUAUUAAAAUUGUAAGCCGACCAUAAUUGAAACUAUGUUUUUGUAUUCUACAUACAAUUUACAAAAACCACAUGCAUUUAAGUGUUCGCAAAAAUGUACUUUAGUAACUACAAUGUGUGGGAAAAUUGAAGGAUAACAGUGAAAUAUAUUUCAAGUGGUUCAUGACGCAAUUAAAUUUGGUUGAGUG